rnacentral:siRNA from 1 species
ACACAAUAUCUAUGUUGCCAGUUC